GAGUGUGCAAGCGCUUUCUCCUCCUCCCAACGAGCGCUUGCCGGAAUGGCGACACUCCUCCUCCCGGUUGCCAUUCAAUCCCUUUAAAAGCCUGCCGCACCUCCUCCCGCGGCAGGCUUUUUCU
rfam:Ensifer adhaerens OV14 chromosome 2 sequence.